rnacentral:rRNA from 1 species
CGUAGGACAUUAAUCGUUGAACAAACGAACCUUUGGCGGCGGUUGCACUGCCUGGGUGUCCUGAUCCAACAUCGAGGUCGUAAGCCCCCCCGGCGAUAUGGACUCUUGGGGAAGAUAACGCUGUUAUCCCUGGGGUAACUUGGUUCGAUGGUCAGUAUUACUGGGUCUAGUUUUAUACGUUUGGCUUGUGGGCCGUGUCGGCAGGGUGUUAGCCUGAUUAUCAUGGAGGUUUUGCUUUUCUCCGCAGUCGCCCCAACUCAAGGCGGGGGCUAUAAUAAAUGUUUGUUGUGUUUUGGGGCUUUUAGUUAGCCGUCUGCCUGAAGCUCCACAGGGUCUUUUCGUCUUGUGGGGGUAUCUCAGCUUUUGUACUGAAAGAUCAGUUUCAUAGAUGGGGCGUAGGAGACAGUUAGGUUUUCAGUUAGCCGUUCAUACAGGUCUCUAUUUAAGAGACAAGUGAUUACGCUACCUUUGCACGGUUAUAAUACCGCGGCCGUUAAAC